rnacentral:piRNA from 1 species
GGCUCAGUUGUGUUUGGGCAGGUGU